CCUUAUCUAGUUAAUUAUAUUAGAUAGCUCAAACUCUAUAUGAGGAGGAGCUGUUACAGGAAACAACUGCAGACAUAGCUAGUGAUACUACAAGAUGAAAGGAAAGAUAGAGAAGCUUUGUCCUCAAAAAUAUGAUAUCCGCAGAGACCGUCGACUUCAUUUGCAAGGCCAUCAGCAUUGAGAAGAAGGAUGAGUUCUUGACAAUCCGGAUAACAGGCCAACCUUGAUAC
rnacentral:lncRNA from 1 species